UAAUACCCCAUGAAACAGGGGUCCCCGAUGGGGAAUAUUUGUUAAAGAUUCAUCGCUGAUAGAUAGGCAUGCGUUCCAUUAGGCAGUUGGCGGGGUAACGGCCCACCAAACCGACGAUGGAUAGGGGUUCUGAGAGGAAGGUCCCCCACAUUGGUACUGAGACACGGCCCAAACUCCUACGGGAGGCAGCAGUGGGGAAUAUUGCACAAUGGGCGAAAGCCUGAUGCAGCGACGCCGCGUGAGCGAAGAAGUAUUUCGGUAUGUAAAGCUCUAUCAGCAGGGAAGAUAAUGACGGUACCUGACUAAGAAGCACCGGCUAAAUACGUGCCAGCAGCCGCGGUAAUACGUAUGGUGCAAGCGUUAUCCGGAUUUACUGGGUGUAAAGGGAGCGCAGGCGGUGCGGCAAGUCUGAUGUGAAAGCCCGGGGCUCAACCCCGGUACUGCAUUGGAAACUGUCGUACUAGAGUGUCGGAGGGGUAAGCGGAAUUCCUAGUGUAGCGGUGAAAUGCGUAGAUAUUAGGAGGAACACCAGUGGCGAAGGCGGCUUACUGGACGAUAACUGACGCUGAGGCUCGAAAGCGUGGGGAGCAAACAGGAUUAGAUACCCUGGUAGUCCACGCCGUA
rnacentral:rRNA from 1 species